rnacentral:rRNA from 1 species
CUGGCUCAGAUUGAACGCUGGCGGCAGGCCUAACACAUGCAAGUCGAGCGGUAGCACAGAGAGCUUGCUCUCGGGUGACGAGCGGCGGACGGGUGAGUAAUGUCUGGGAAACUGCCUGAUGGAGGGGGAUAACUACUGGAAACGGUAGCUAAUACCGCAUAACGUCGCAAGACCAAAGUGGGGGACCUUCGGGCCUCAUGCCAUCAGAUGUGCCCAGAUGGGAUUAGCUAGUAGGUGGGGUAACGGCUCACCUAGGCGACGAUCCCUAGCUGGUCUGAGAGGAUGACCAGCCACACUGGAACUGAGACACGGUCCAGACUCCUACGGGAGGCAGCAGUGGGGAAUAUUGCACAAUGGGCGCAAGCCUGAUGCAGCCAUGCCGCGUGUAUGAAGAAGGCCUUCGGGUUGUAAAGUACUUUCAGCGGGGAGGAAGGCGAUAAGGUUAAUAACCUUGUCGAUUGACGUUACCCGCAGAAGAAGCACCGGCUAACUCCGUGCCAGCAGCCGCGGUAAUACGGAGGGUGCAAGCGUUAAUCGGAAUUACUGGGCGUAAAGCGCACGCAGGCGGUCUGUCAAGUCGGAUGUGAAAUCCCCGGGCUCAACCUGGGAACUGCAUUCGAAACUGGCAGGCUAGAGUCUUGUAGAGGGGGGUAGAAUUCCAGGUGUAGCGGUGAAAUGCGUAGAGAUCUGGAGGAAUACCGGUGGCGAAGGCGGCCCCCUGGACAAAGACUGACG